rnacentral:rRNA from 1 species
UACAGAGGUCUCAAGCGUUGUUCGGAUUCAUUGGGCGUAAAGGGCGCGUAGGUGGCGGGGUAAGUCAGGUGUGAAAUUUCGGGGCUUAACUCCGAAACUGCAUUUGAUACUGCCUUGCUUGAGGACUGGAGAGGAGACUGGAAUUCACGGUGUAGCGGUGAAAUGCGUAGAUAUCGUGAGGAAGACCAGUGGCGAAGGCGGGUCUCUGGACAGUUCCUGACACUGAGGCGCGAGAGCGUGGGGAGCAAACAGG